rnacentral:lncRNA from 1 species
UGUUUCAUUUAUGUGAGGGUUGUAUUUGUGUUUUGUUUGAUGGUGGGGUUUGACUCCCCCCUCCACGGCCUAAAUGAAAGAAACAUGCGCAGACAUAAGCUUAAAGGGGGAAAGGGAGGUGACCGUCCGAUUUCGGCGGGAAUCAGUAAUAUAAAAGUCGAAAACUUAUAAUUUUCUUCAUCGUCAUCAUUAAAAUGGCAAGCAACGUAGUUUUCC